UCGGGUGUGGUGUACGGCGCACGGCAGCUAAUGUUGGUCAUAUAAUAAUAUUUCAUUUAUAUUGCAGGACGGGGUUCGAUCCCCCGCACCCGAA